ensembl:lncRNA
CUCCAGCUGGUUCAUACAGAGGACAUUAAUAGGCCAUGAGUGCUUGCAGUGCCGAACUGAACUUACACAGUGGUGCAGGGAAAAGGUCAUCUCUGAGUGGAGAGGGCACUGCACCCCGGUCACUGCUAUGUUCUAGUACUUAGUGAGAACUAGGAAGUUCCCCUCUGAGCGGAUGGACUGAAGCCACAACCCCUCAGGCACCCCAGGUGUGAUGGCAGCCCCCUGGCACCUUCCCUGGACAUUAAUCCAUGAGGAUGCAGGUUCGAUCCCUGGCCUUGCUCGGUGACUUAAGGAUCUGGCAUUGCUGUGAGCUGCAGUGUAGGUUGCAGACGCAGCUAGGAUCCCACAUUGCUGUGGCUGUGGGGUAGGCCGGCAGCUGUAGCUCCGAUUAGACCCUUAGCCUAGGAACCUCCGUAUGCGGCAAGUGCGGCCCUAAACAAACAAACAAAAAAAGAAUCCAAGUUCUGUGCACCACGUUGUGGGGCCUGGUGUGUGAGGCCCCCAGGCUGCAGGGAGACCAAAGACCCUAGAAUGCAGGAUGGCUCACAUCUGACCGUAGAGCAGCCUUCAAGGCAGAUAAUGCUAGUUUCAAUAUCACCUCUUACUAGGAGUUUCAUUAGUGUGGCAGAAAAGCCCAGAAAAAUCGUUUGACCUCUCAGAGCAAUGACAGAUUUAAACGUACCAAACUCUAGAGCAGAACUGCCUGAAGAAAUACCAUGCAGACCACAGAUACAAACCAUGUAAUUUAAAAUUUCUAUUGGCCACAUUACAAAAGGCCCAAAGAAACAGAUGACAUUAAUUUUAAUAUAUUUUUAUUUCACCAAAUAUAUGAAAAUAUGAUGUUGACAUGUAAUCAAUAUAAAAAUUGUUAAUGAGAAUUUCCCAUCAUGGCUUGGCGAUAACAAAUCCAACUAGUAUCCAUGAGGACGAGGGUUCAAUCUCUGAUCACACUCAGUGGGUUAAAGACCCAGCAUUGCCAUAAGCUGUGGUAUAGGUCACAGAAUCAGCUUGGAUCCUGUGUUGCUGUGGCUGUGAGUAGGCCAGCAGCUGCAGCUCCAAUUUGACCCCUAGCCUGGGAACUUCCAUAUGCCACAGAUACAGCCCUGAAAAAAAAUUGUUAAUGAGAUAUUUGACAUUGUUUUUUUUUCAUAACAAGCUUUUGAAAUAGGGUGUGUCUUUGACGCACAACUCAAUUUGCACAGGUCAUGUUACAGGUGUUCAACAGCCACCCAUGGCUAGCAGCCGUGAUGUCAGCCAGGCCAGAUCUAAAACGACAAGAGCAAAAAUCAGCUCUGUGAUCUGAAAGGCAAUCUACAGGACCAGAGGUGAAGCAGAAUGAAAAAUUUUUGGCUAUUUCAGAGCAGCAGACUCUUCAUGUCACCUCUUAACAGCUGCAAAAACCUAACCUGGAUAAAAUAGACUAGUGCCUCCCAUUACCCUCCAACCAGCCAGGGGGCCACACCCAGCAGGCUCUGUGUCCUUGUCAUUAGAAUUCACCUGCUCUGUGUGGCACAGACGUUUGUGUAUAAGGCGGCUGCUUCUUCAGAGAAGGAGCGCAGCCCUUAUUCAUCCUACCCUCUAGUCAACCUAUAACAUUUGUGAGCAGCCUUGGGGCCAUAUAAACAUCCUGCGGUGGGUCAGAAGCACCUGACCCCCUAUUAACAUGUCAAUGAGAGUGGCUGGUGCUCUGGGCUUGUUUUCUAGGGUUUUGAUGAGGUUCAUUAAUUAUGUUGAGAGAAAAAGGUGUGCAGCUGGAGAAGAACCCACUUAGCGCCACGUGAUCAUGAAUAAUUGGACAGUUGGCAGAGUGUUAAAUUGGUGGUCUGGCGAGAUAAACUCGUGAAUAAACACAAUUCCCCAAACCACCGCAAAGCAGGCCCAGUUCUCUCGCCUCCCGUGUCCACAGUGUCUGGACUUAGAGCUGGCUCAGUUGGAGAGGAGCCUUGGAGGUCAGGAGUGGACUCUGAAACUGGAACAGGUACCCACAUCCUGCCUUCACCACUUCCUUACCUGCAGGAUCUUGGACAGGUUACAUAACCUUUUCCUGAGCUUUCGUUUUUUCAUCUACAAAGUGGAGACUAUAAUAAUAGGAUUAUUAUGAUGAUUCUGUGUCUCUAUUUAUGUAGCGCAUAUAAAAUAGUAUCGGGAGUUCCUGUCAUGGCUCAGGGGAAGCGAAUCUGACUAGCACCCAUGAGGACACAGGUUCGAUCCCUGGCCUCACUCAGUGGGUUAAAGAUCCGGCGUUGCUGUGAGCUGUGGUGUAGGUCGCAGAUGUGGCUCAGAUCCUGCGUUGCUGUAACUGUGGCAUAGGCCAGUGGCUACAGCUCUGAUUCACCCCUAGCUUCGGAACCUCCAUAUGCCACGGGAGCAGCC